rnacentral:lncRNA from 10 species
AAAUGAUCUCAUGUGGUCUUUAUUUCUCUCCUUUAUGAAAAAGAAGUCAUUUUCUGAAAUCACCUUUUUAGUCAGUCUGAGGGAUCCUGACUGGUCUGUGGUAGCACACACAGCUGGUGUGGACCAUCAGCACAUGGGCUGCAAGGAAAAUCGCCCCGAUGUCCAGACAGUGGGGCCAGGUGGUUUCUGGGUUUUGGCCUAGCCCCUGCUCUUGGUCUGACUGAGCAAUACUUCCCCAGAUGUCCCUUGCCCUUCAGCCCACUGGCCCUGACCUUUGUUAGAAGUGGAUGCCCAGCAGCUUUCUGGUUGUCUGUGAAUGCCCGGUGAAGAUUCUGAACUGAUUCCUCACCAGACAGUUGCUCUGUUUGCACCACAAGGGGCUUUCCCACGUGUGAGCAGGCCUCCCACCAGCUUCAUUCCUCCAAACUCCCAAACCAGCAGCACUGUCUCCUAAGAUACAACAGGACAGGCUUUGAGGACAGAAACCCAGGGUCACGUUCCUGCUCCAUCACUUUCCAUCAGCAUGGUCUCGGGCAAGGGAAUCGUAAGCAGGUAACUGAUCAUCUGGAAACCUGGGGGACAAGAGGGAAGAAAUGACACCUAGGAUGCUCCAUCCUUUCCCUGCAUCCCUUUGUGUUCAGUUCAACAACUUGGUUCUCCUCCUGACCAGCCACUGUGCUUGGCUGAGGACACAAAGGUGAAGGAGACAGUCUAGUAUAAAACAUGACACAGACCAGACCCAAAGGGGAGGAAGAGGUCCUGUAGAAAGGUGAAGGGGCAUCAUUCACCAAGCCUCUCCAGCAUUAACCAGAGACUGCUGGAGGGCAGCGUGAGCCUACGGAAAAGACUCGACAUCCAGGGUUUGGACUUAAAGGCCCUAGUGUGGACUUCUUCAGUGCUCUGAUUCCUUGAAGAUUCUGUUGGCUUGUUCUCAAAACGUAAGCAACUUUCCAGUGCCAACAUAUUGAAUUCCUUGCCCACGGGGCAUUUCUCAUCAUCAUGGGUUGCAAUGUGUGCUGUUGUCUGUUGCUGCAUAAUAAACCAGUAAGUCUGCUUAAGUGGCAUGAAGCAACUAUUUUGUUAUGCACACGAUUCUAUGGAUCAGGAAUUUGGACAGCCCAGCAAGGAUGGCUUGUCUUUGUUCUGUGACGUUGGGGCUUCUGCUGGGUACCAGAACCAUCUGGCAAUUCCUUCACUCACUUGCCUGCUAUUUGGGCCAGGAUGACUUGAAGUUUAAGGCCACUUAGGACAGUCAACAGAGCAUCUACAAGUGGUCUUUCCAUGUGACUCAGGCUUCUUAUAACACAGUAGCUGGGUUCUGAUGGCAUGUUCCAG